GCACAAGCAGCGGAGCAUGUGGUUUAAUUCGAAGCAACGCGAAGAACCUUACCAGAUCUUGACAUCCAAUUGACCAUCUUUUAAUCGAGAUUUUGCCUUCGGGUACAAUUGAGACAGGUGGUGCAUGGUUGUCGUCAGCUCGUGUCGUGAGAUGUUGGGUUAAGUCCCGCAACGAGCGCAACCCUUGUGUUUAGUUGCAAACAGGUCAAGCUGUGCACUCUAGACAGACUGCCGUGGACAACACGGAGGAAGGUGGGGAUGACGUCAAAUCAUCAUGCCCCUUAUGAUCUGGGCUACACACGUGCUACAAUGGCCGGUACAGAGCGCAGCGAGGCCGCGAGGCGGAGCGAAUCGCUUAAAGCCGGUCCCAGUACGGAUUGGAGUCUGCAACCCGACUCCAUGAAGUUGGAAUCGCUAGUAAUCGCGCAUCAGCAUGGCGCGGUGAAUACGUUCCCGGGCCUU
rnacentral:rRNA from 1 species